UACAGAGGUCUCAAGCGUUGUUCGGAUUCAUUGGGCGUAAAGGGUGCGUAGGUGGCGAGGUUAGUCAGGUGUGAAAUCUCGGGGCUCAACCCCGAAACUGCACUUGAUACUGUCUUGCUAGAGUACUGGAGAGGAGAUUGGAAUUUACGGUGUAGCAGUGAAAUGCGUAGAUAUCGUAAGGAAGACCAGUGGCGAAGGCGAAUCUCUGGACAGUUACUGACACUGAGGCACGAAGGCCAGGGGAGCAAACGGG
rnacentral:rRNA from 1 species